rnacentral:rRNA from 1 species
GAUGAACGCUAGCGGCAGGCCUAACACAUGCAAGUCGAGGGGCAGCACAUAAAGUGGUUUACUACUUUUGGUGGCGACCGGCGGACGGGUGCGUAACGCGUAUGCAACCUGCCUCCAACAGGGGGAUAACGGAGAGAAAUUUCCACUAAUACCCCAUAAUAUCAGAAUCGGCAUCGGUUUUGGUUGAAAACUCCGGUGGUUGGAGAUGGGCAUGCGUUGUAUUAGAUAGGUUGUGAGGUAACGGCUCACCAAGUCAACGAUACAUAGGGGGGCUGAGGGGUUAGCCCCCCACACUGGUACUGAGACACGGACCAGACUCCUACGGGAGGCAGCAGUGAGGAAUAUUGGUCAAUGGGGGCAACCCUGAACCAGCCAUGCCGCGUGCAGGAAGACGGCUCUAUGAGUUGUAAACUGCUUUUACAAGGGGAUAAAUCGGUGUACGUGUACACCGUUGAAGGUACCUUGGGAAUAAGGAUCGGCUAACUCCGUGCCAGCCGCCGCAGUAA